UAGUUGCCUCAAAGUUAAAAAUUACAGUUGUAAUUUGCUUUACUAUAUCUUAUUAUUAGUUGUUUUCAAUGUAAUUUUGGCAUACUGUAUUGCAUAUCAUCCUAAAUCAGACCAAUGGAGGGUUAAACAAAUUUAAUNNNNNNNNNNAAAAAGAAACGAAAAACGAAUUCUCCAAGUAGCGGCGAGCGAAACGAGAAAAGUCCAUACCCCGAAGUCGGCGAGCAGUUGUGUUCGUCAACAGUGUGGUGUUAAAGGUGUCGUUGCAUGUGCUGAAAUCAGUUCGUAGGCUCCCUUGAUUGGGGCUUCAGAGCGGGUGCAGGACCCAUAACGAACGAUGUUUUGUGCAUGGUGUCGCGGCUCCUAAUCGAGUCGGGUUGCUUGAGACUGCAGCCCAAAGCGGGUGGUAAAUCUCACCCAAGACUAAAUAUUCGUACGAGACCGAUAGCGAACAAGUACCGCGAGGGAAAGUUGAAAAGAACUCUGAAGAGAGAGUUCAACAGGACGUGAAA
rnacentral:ncRNA from 1 species